UCACCCUUCUGUGAGCCCUAAUGGACACUGCUGUGUAGGAAGCGGCUCGGUGCUAAUAGGAACCCGUUGCAUUUGCUGCUAAUCCCCUGCCACCUGAGAUGGGUACGUGGGGAGCUUUGGGCACAUUCACUGCCUGCAGAGGGACGGACGCUGCACGUGGGAACUGUGCUCCGAGGAGCAGCCCAGCCCACUGGUGCGUCACAUAUGCCUGUGCAGUUUGGUGGCACCGCUGGCCCGGGAGGCUGAAUUCAACCACAUGCGGAGAAGCGCGGCUGCAUCGUGCUUCAGACGAGAGCCAAGGCAAGACGCCUUUAUCCCUGCUCGUUUUAGAGGAGUCUGCUAGCCAGAGGGACUUGACCGGCGCCCUUGCUUCAGAGGGCCUGAGUGACUUUCCAGAAGUCAGGCAAGGGAAUAACAGCUCGACUUCCUGGCUGAAGCCUUCUGACUGGCCCCAUUCUCUUAUGCUCUCCCUUUCCUGACCUGCUCUGCGAUACCAAGAACAGGAGCCCAGGCUCCUGGAGAAGAGUGAGGCCACAAACUCAGGCCGGAAGGAUCCAAGGAGCCAUGCGGUUAACCCCUGCCUUUGGGUGAGAUUAGGCCCAAAUCCUGAGGAUUAGGCUGACUCCUGCCCGGAGAGCAGAGACAUCUCUGAUGGGAGGAGGGGGGGAGAAGUGGCAGACAGCCUGUCCUGGGGGACUUGGUAAUUGUUCUGUUUCUUUAACCCAUCCACGAUCCCAGCCCUGGGGCCUAUCCUUCUGCCCUCCCUCCUCCCUCCCCUCUUGCUACAAAAUCUGCAGUUUGACUGCUUCAAAAAAGGGGCAGCCACUCCCAGAUUUUAUGGUUCUGAAAAUGUCAAGACCAGUUGGGAGUUUUUUGUUUUUCCCUCCUGAAGAGAAGGAUGGAGAAGAGCCCCAGAGAGGCAUAGCUUCAGGGAAAUCCUGAGCCUUAGGGGAAAAGUCUAGAGGACUUCCCUAGGACAGAAGCUUCUGACUUUUUAUGACAGCUCCAUUGAUUCUGAAGAGCCCAGAUGUCAGAAUGGAAUGUGUCGUCUGGUGUAAGGAGCGCUGGCCUGGCAAAGGACAGGGACUACCUUGGGGAGGAGGGAAGGAAGAGAGGUUGGCAGGGGGUUCCUGGGAGGUGGGCAGUGUUCUAGUCCUUGACCCAGAUGGUGGUUACGUGGGGGUUG
rnacentral:lncRNA from 1 species